rnacentral:rRNA from 1 species
GAUGAACGCUGGCGGCGUGCCUAAUACAUGCAAGUCGAGCGAAAAGACGCGGAGCUUGCUCCUCUGACGUUAGCGGCGGACGGGUGAGAAACACGUGGAUACUCUACCUAUCAGACUGGGAUAAUUUCGGGACACCGGCGCUAAUACCGGAUAAUAUAUUGAACCGCAUGGUUCAAUAGUGAAAGUCGGUUUUGCUGUAACUUAUAGAUGGAUCCGCGCCGCAUUAGCUAGUUGGUAAGGUAACGGCUUACCAAGGCAACGAUGCGUAGCCGACCUGAGAGAGUGGUAGGCCGCACGGGAGCGUGAACAGGGACCAGGCGACUGCGAGAGGCAGCAGAAGCGUAUCGGACGCAGUGGUGGAGAGCCUGACGGAGCAGCGGGACGUGUGAGAUAGAAAUCUUGGGUGCGUAAUACUCGGUUAUGGGUUAUAAACAAAUGUGGAAGGAGCUGAGCACGGCGUGACGGUACCUGGUCAGAAAGCCACGGCUAACUACGUG